rfam:Pteropus alecto contig94436, whole genome shotgun sequence.
GUCUACAGUCAUGCCACCCUGAAUAAACCCAAUCCCGUUUGAUCUUGGAAGGUAAAUAGUGUCAGAUCUGGUUAGUACUUGGAUGGGAGACCACCUAGAAAGACCAGGUGCUGUAGGCA